AUGACGUAGACCCGAAACCGGGUGACCUAUCCAUGGGCAGGUUGAAGUGGAAGUAAAAUUUCAUGGAGGACCGAACCAGACGUCUGUUGAAAAAGGCGGGGAUGACCUGUGGAUAGCGGAGAAAUUCCAAUCGAACCCGGAGAUAGCUGGUUCUCCUCGAAAUAGCUUUAGGGCUAGCCUCGCAUUAGUUUACCGGAGGUAGAGCACUGAAUGGUCUAGGGGGCCUCACCGCCUACCGAAACCUAUCAAACUGCGAAUGCCGGAUAAAUGAUGUGCGGGAGUCAGGCCGCGAGAGAUAAGUUCCGCGGUCAAAAGGGGAACACCCCAGAUCGUCUGCUAAGGUCCCCAAGUACGCGUUAAGUGGGAAAGGAUGUUGGAUUGCACAGACAACCAGGAUGUUGGCUUAGAAGCAGCCACACAUUCAAAGAGUGCGUAAUAGCUCACUGGUCGAGUGAUCCAGCGCCGAAAAUGUAACGGGGCUAAAACGCGACACCGAAGCAGCGGGAUGCGUAAGCAUCGGUAGAGGAGCAUUGUGUGAGGGUUGAAGCCAGAGCGGGAGCACUGGUGGACUUCACAGAAGAGAGAAUGCCGGUAUGAGUAGCGAGACCCAUGCGAGAAACAUGGGCGUCGAAGGCCCAAGGUUUCCUGGGGAAGGUUCAUCCACCCAGGGUAAGUCUGGACCUAAGCCGAGGACUGAGGUCGUAGGCGAUGGACAGCAGGUAGAGAUUCCUGCACCACUUACACUUGUUUGACGAAGCAGUGACACAGAAGGAUAGGACGAGCGCGGUGAUGGUCAACCGCGUAGGCGGCACGAGGCUGGGGAGCAGUAAAGUACACUUCCCGGGAAGGCUGAGUGCUGACAGGACCGAAAAAGAGUAGGGAAGCGUCUGAGUUCACGCUGGCGAGAAAAGCUGCUAAGGAGAGUGUGAGUGCCCGUACCGGAAACCGACGCAGGUGGGCGAGGAGAGAAUCCUGAGACGGACGGGAGAACUCUUGUUAAGGAACUCGGCAAAAUGACCCCGUAACUUCGGGAGAAGGGGUGCCUCGAAAGAGGCCGCAGAGAAUAGUCACAAGCGACUGUUUAGCAAAAACACAGGUAUCUGCGAAAGCGAGAGCUGACGUAUAGGUGCUGACGCCUGCCCGGUGCUGGAAGGUUAAGGGGAAGUGUUAGGGGAAACCCGAAGCAGAGAACCGAAGCCCCAGUAAACGGCGGCCGUAACUAUAACGGUCCUAAGGUAGCGAAAUUCCUUGUCGGGUAAGUUCCGACCCG
rnacentral:rRNA from 1 species